UGCCAGCAGCCGCGGUAAUACGUAGGUGGCAAGCGUUGUCCGGAAUUAUUGGGCGUAAAGCGCGCGCAGGCGGAUAGGUCAGUCUGUCUUAAAAGUUCGGGGCUUAACCCCGUGAUGGGAUGGAAACUGCCAAUCUAGAGUAUCGGAGAGGAAAGUGGAAUUCCUAGUGUAGCGGUGAAAUGCGUAGAUAUUAGGAAGAACACCAGUGGCGAAGGCGACUUUCUGGACGAAAACUGACGCUGAGGCGCGAAAGCCAGGGGAGCGAACGGGAUUAGAUA
rnacentral:rRNA from 1 species